rnacentral:rRNA from 1 species
UACGAAGGGGGCUAGCGUUGUUCGGAAUUACUGGGCGUAAAGCGCACGUAGGCGGAUAUUUAAGUCAGGGGUGAAAUCCCAGAGCUCAACUCUGGAACUGCCUUUGAUACUGGGUAUCUCGAGUAUGGAAGAGGUGAGUGGAAUUCCGAGUGUAGAGGUGAAAUUCGUAGAUAUUCGGAGGAACACCGGUGGCGAAGGCGGCAUCCUGGACCAACACUGACGCUGAGGAGCGAAAGCCAGGGGAGCAAACGGG